CCCUUAGAUGUUCUGGGCCGCACGCGCGCUACACUGAUGCAUUCAACGAGCCUAUCCUUGACCGACAGGUCCGGGUAAUCUUUGAAUCUGCAUCGUGACGGGGAUAGAUUAUUGCAAUUAUUAAUCUUCAACGAGGAAUGCCUAGUAGGCGCAAGUCAUCAGCUUGCGUCGAUUACGUCCCUGCCUUUUGUACACACCGCCCGUCGCUCCUACCGAUUGGGUGUGCUGGUGAAAUGUUCGGAUCGGCCGUUUGUCGCGGUUUCCGCGGCUCGUGGCUGAGAAGUUCAUUAAACCCUCCCACCUAGAGGAAGGAGAAGUCGUAACA
rnacentral:rRNA from 1 species